UUGUGAGACAAGGUCGAUUGAGAUGGAUCGAAUUUUGCGUCUGUUUUUAAUAUAUUUCUCUCUGACCGCGCUCUUUGUUUUGCUCGUCGUCGACGUGGCCGAAUCCUCAGAAAUCGCGGCGAAUGAGAUGUGUCCAGCGGGAACAGUUUACAACGCGGAAAACGACCAUUGUGACGGAUUAAAUACUGAAGUAACUGAAGAUAGCAACAAGGCUUUGGGUUUAUCAAUAACAACUGGAUUGCCUGGAAGAGUCGCAAGAUUGUGUAAUGAAAACUACAUGUACGUAAGGCGUCGUAAUAGAUGCGUGCGUAUAGUGAAAUAAUAUUUGUCAUAUCACACCUUAUUACAAGGCUGUAAAAAUACAUUUUUGUUUGAAGAAGUUGCCACUCGAGGAGAUGAUCAUCGAAAUGCAAAAAUUCGGGCUGGUCCUCGUUGCAAAAAAUUGUUUUUAUUCCAAAAAGCCGUUUUGUUU